GGAUCAAUGUUUCGGUCAUGCCGUUGGUAUGUACUGAUAUUAUUGAUUUCUCACCUUCUAAAGAACCGUAAUGCCAUUAAUUUGGUGUCACGGGGAAUUAGGACUGUUACCUUGAAAAAAUUAGAGUGUUUAAAGCAGGCUCACGCUUGAAUACAUUAGCAUGGAAUAAUAGAAUAGGACAUCCGAUUCUAUUUUGUUGGUUUCUAGGAUCGAUGUAAUGAUUAAUAGGGAUAGUUGGG
rnacentral:rRNA from 1 species